rnacentral:rRNA from 1 species
GACGAACGCUGGCGGCGUGCUUAACACAUGCAAGUCGAACGGAAAGGCCCUGCUUUUGUGGGGUGCUCGAGUGGCGAACGGGUGAGUAACACGUGAGUAACCUGCCCUUGACUUUGGGAUAACUUCAGGAAACUGGGGCUAAUACCGGAUAGGAGCUCCUGCUGCAUGGUGGGGGUUGGAAAGUUUCGGCGGUUGGGGAUGGACUCGCGGCUUAUCAGCUUGUUGGUGGGGUAGUGGCUUACCAAGGCUUUGACGGGUAGCCGGCCUGAGAGGGUGACCGGCCCCAGUGGGACUGGGAUACGGCCCGGACUCCUUCUGGAGGCAGCAGUGGAGACUAUUGCACGAUGGGCGGAGGCCUGAUGCAGCAACGCCGCGUGCGGGAUGACGGCCUUCGGGUUGUAAACCGCUUUCGCCUGUGACGAAGCGUGAGUGACGUUACUGGGUAAAGAAGCACCGGCUACCUCCGU